CAAGUUUGUUUACCAUCAAAUUGGCUGCAUAAAGGUGAAAAUCUUGCAGUAUAAUGUACCUUUAAUAUGCACACCCCUCAUUCAUACAUGUUCUUGGUAGUUGCCCCACCUGUGCAUCUCUUGCCCCCAUGCUGUAGUAGUAAUUGCCCCACCUGUGCCCCUCUUGCCCCCAUGCUGUAGUAGUAAUUGCCCCAUCUGAGCCCCUCUUGCCCCCAUGCUGUUGUAGUAAUUGCCCCAUCUGUGCCUCUAUUGCCCCCAUGCUACUGCUCCAUGCCUACUAGCAUUUUGGUGGUCAGUGGGAAGCGCUGAUUGGUUGGUUCAGGAUUCUCUGAACUAUGCAGCCCUGAACUUCUCUGGCAAGAAGAGGAAGAGCAACUCCAACCUCCAGACCAACAACCCACACGUCACAAACGCUGCCACUAGA